CCCUACUCUUUUGCCUUGAUUCCGCUUUUGAAUGCUCGACAUUUGGCUCAACAAUGGAAUCAAUGUAACCCUUUCAUUGAGCUCCGUCACCUUUGUACUCAACAAUGUAAAGAAAGCAUUCUUUUCACCGACUUUCAUACACCACCGAACUCCUGGACAUAUUGGCAUGUUGUUUUCGGCGGGAGCUAGCUACAUGGACGAUGUUCACCUGUGAGCUGGAGCAAAUCAUCCCGCUCAUCAGGCGUUCUGACUAAUUUUGAUUAAUGUGAUGUCCCUCUGACAGUUAAGAGUGGUGGAUUUGCCGAACCUGAUUCCAGUUGUGCUCUGUAUUGCUAAAUUUGGCCAAGGAUGGGAUUGGAACGUAAACCUACACGCAUUUUUGCCAUUGGUUUCGGCUAGUCCGUAGGGCUUUCUUACUAUCUCUGACUUACCAUGGUUCCCCAACUGACGGUCGGUCAAUUCUCAUUAAGGAUAUUUUUGAGCUCCCUUUGGAUGAUGGGAGGAAACCAGGCGUUCAUUCUCUCGGUGGUAGUUUAGUGGUAUGGACAACCACGGCACGAUUGCAAGCGAUUCAAGUGAUCAAGAGGACAAGCAAGUGGAUGGACAUCCCAAGUGGCCGUCAGCUCGGAGAGACACAUGAUGUGGCAUUAUUGAUGUUCGUUGCUAGCCUUUCGAAGAUUAGGCAAACUUCUUGAAGUUCUUGGGGGCGUCGCCCACUUCAGCAACGGUUUAUAGGUCUAGAGGCUCAGAGAAGUGACCACCUCGACGUCAAGACGACCAAAAUAGGCAAGCUAUUGGCACGAGAGGUUCAAAUAAAACAAAUAGUCUGUUGUCUCAAACAGACCCAGCAAUCACUUGACGUGUCAAUCUUUGGCUUCACCCUUUCACUCUCAUCCGUGUUGUUCUAUUUGGAGGACUCGAGAGCCUCCAACAAGGUGCCAAAUGAGAGAGAGACAGAGUAGAGGUCCUCGCCGCCUUCUCCAACAAAACACCGAUUCGGCUGCAAAAGAGAUGUGAAUCUUUUUCAACACCCCUGGAGACCUUGAACUAGCUGUAGAGACAAAAACAGCAGUGAAACUCGGAUGAUGGAAAAGUAAGUUUGCUCUUGAAAAAGGAACAAACUGGAAAAAAAUCAUCAUAAUAUAGUCAUUAUCUUAUGUAUGUCGUCUAAUUAUUUUGGAGAACUUGUAACUUUUCCAAAU